ACACAUCCCACCCAAUCUCCAGCAGACCCUCCCUCCUAGACCCUCCCACCUCCUGGACAGCAUCCAUGUUGAAGCUGCCUUCAACAUGGAUUAGUGUCCAGGAGGUGGGAGGAUCUGGGAGGGAGGGUCUGCUGGAGAUUGGCCAGGAUGA